rnacentral:rRNA from 1 species
CAGUAGCCGCGGGAAUACGUAGGGUGCGAGCGUUAAUCGGAAUUACUGUGCGUAAAGCGUGCGCAGGCGGUUUUGUAAGACAGAGGUGAAAUCCCCGGGCUCAACCUGGGAACUGCCUUUGUGACUGCAAGGCUAGAGUACGGCAGAGGGGGAUGGAAUUCCGCGUGUAGCAGUGAAAUGCGUAGAUAUGCGGAGGAACACCGAUGGCGAAGGCAAUCCCCUGGGCCUGUACUGACGCUCAUGCACGAAAGCGUGGGGAGCAAACAGGAUUAGAUACCCCCGUAGUCCCUGUCUCUUAUAC